CCCUUAGACACUCUAGGCGGCACGCGUGCUACAAUGGGUGGAAGAACGUGUUACUGCCUCCGAAAGGAGGGGUGAAUCACGAAUUCUUGCCCGUGAAUGGGAUAGUUUGUUGCAAUUUUCGGACUUGAACUAGGAAUCCCUUGUAAACAUGCUCAAGAAUAGCGUGUUGAAUACGUCCCUGCCGUUUGUACACACCGCCCGUCGUUUCUUCCGACUGAUACUCAUUGUGAGUUGCAAGGACCCUUUAUUGGGAAAUUGCUGCAAAUGCUUUGUAUUGGAGGAAGAAAAAGUCGUAACA
rnacentral:rRNA from 1 species